AGCGAACGCUGGCGGCAGGCCUAACACAUGCAAGUCGAACGGACCCUUCGGGGUUAGUGGCGGACGGGUGAGUAACACGUGGGAACGUGCCUUUAGGUUCGGAAUAACUCCUGGAAACGGGUGGUAAUGCCGAAUGUGCCCUUCGGGGGAAAGAUUUAUCGCCUUUAGAGCGGCCCGCGUCUGAUUAGCUAGUUGGUGGGGUAAUGGCCCACCAAGGCUACGAUCAGUAGCUGGUCUGAGAGGAUGACCAGCCACAUUGGGACUGAGACACGGCCCAAACUCCUACGGGAGGCAGCAGUGGGGAAUCUUGCGCAAUGGGCGAAAGCCUGACGCAGCAUGCCGCGUGUAUGAUGAAGGUCUUAGGAUUGUAAAAUACUUUCACCGGUGAAGAUAAUGACUGUAGCCGGAGAAGAAGCCCCGGCUAACUUCGUGCCAGCAGCCGCGGUAAUACGAAGGGGGCUAGCGUUGCUCGGAAUUACUGGGCGUAAAGGGAGCGUAGGCGGACAUUUAAGUCAGAGGUGAAAUCCCGGAGCUUAACUUCGGAACUGCCUUUGAUACUGGGUGUCUUGAGUGUGAGAGAGGUAUGUGGAACUCCGAGUGUAGAGGUGAAAUUCGUAGAUAUUCGGAAGAACACCAGUGGCGAAGGCGACACACUGGCUCAUUACUGACGCUGAG
rnacentral:rRNA from 1 species